AUAGCAAAAUAUGCAUAAUAGUCAUGAAUACCCCAAAUGCAAACCCAUCUCAUUGGUUUUCAAACCAAUAACCCAUAUCUAUAAACCCAUCACAGGGUUUUCAAAACAAAAAAAAUGAACGAUCCGUUCUAUUCGUACUUGUGUGACUACGAUUAAUAUAGGGCUUUCACUUCUGUUCACCAAUGAGAGGCGCUGAGGGUGUAUUAGGGCUCCUGUAGUUUGUGAAAGAGAGGAAACUGGUUUUUAUUUUCGUGUGAUCCUCUGGGUUUAAAGAGAGAAAGGGAAUGGAUUUUGUUUUUUUGUGGUUUAGAGAGAGAGGGAGUGGAUGCAUCGGUAGAGGGAGAGAGAUGGAGUAGGAGAUGGGCUUGAGGUAGGUAGAAACUGGGCGCGAGUGAGAGAUAGGGGUCCUCUGGUUUUAGAGAGAGAAAGGGAAUGGUUUUUGAAAUCGUGUGGUUUAGAGAGAGAGGGAUUGGAUGCAUCGGUAGAGAGAGAGAUGGAGUAGGAGAAGGGCUUGAUGCUGGUGGGCUUGAGGCUGGUAGGCCUGCCAUCUCUGCAAGGGUGGGAGUGUAGGCGGGAGUUCGUAGGCCUACUCUGUCUGCGUUUUCCUUCUCCAAAGAGCAUUUC
rnacentral:lncRNA from 1 species